AGAUGUUCUCCCAGCUGGCCGAACUGCUUGGCCAGAAGUGCAAUCACUGGGAAGGCCUGAACAGCGUCGCCAUUGCUAACCUGCGCGCUCUCUACGUCGUCCUGGAGGAGCGGAAAUGCUGCAGCACGGACCAGCGCGACGCCCACGCAGCUGUUGUCGCACAGGCUAGAGGAUCUGAUGUCAGCAGCAGGAAAGGCAGCAGGUGCAGGUGUGCUGCAGCAACACAGUCGCGCUGGCGGCUUGGAGUGCAUUGAUUUCCGAGGCGGUCUUGGCUCAAACGGAGGUGAGCUGCUCAGCAACGCCACGAAUCGAUGAGCGUUCGCGUUGCAUGAAAGGCAACCGUGCAUCGCAGGCAGCGAACGGCAAAGAGUCACGUCAAUUCGGCAUGUGGACGCGGUGAAGCUUACAUCAAGCUUCGGGUUGGUGUAAGUCGCUGCGAACCAAGCCGAGCGCACCGGCUGUUGUAAGGGUCGCAGCAAUUCGCUGGAUGGUUGGGUGCGUUCCAAAAGCUGCAGUGCGUCCAGGAUGUUUUUCGGUGCUUCAGUUCUUUGGUGAUGCGGUGAGCGUUCAGGUUGUCGAGGAAGCCGCUGCUCAUUUGGCUUGAGAAGCAUGAUCCACAGAUGCAGCAUCUGGCCGCCCUCACGUGAACGAGCCUCGAUGAAUGCGGUGAACCGGAUUCCCGUAGCUAGUUGCGCUGCGUGUACUCGACGUUGAGGCGCCAACGGGGAUGUUUUUCGUUGCCGAGAACGCCGAGGUAGCCUUUGGUGGCUCUGCACAGGUAGAUGCGGGAUAGGACCCAGCGCAGAAGCUCCGGGUUCUCCCAGCUUGACAUGAAGACGCGUCGGACGUCCUCGUUCUUCGUGUAUCUGGACAGAGGCUCCGGUAACGCCGGUACGUCUUGCCAUUGGGCGAUGUUCAGGCGUUGCGGAUCCUCUGGCCAUGGAAGUCUUGAUUUCCUUUUGUAGUGUUGGCGUACAACCCCAGACUAACAGGGACAACUUCUUGUCCGUCUCGAACGAUUGCUGCCACGGGAAAAUGGCGAUUCGUUGAACGAGCAUUAGCUGCGCGAGGACACGCGAGAGCGCUUCUUUCUCAUCGUGCCACGCCGCGUGUUCGGCUGCGAAGACGUAAAGAAGAAGAAGGGGCUUCGCAAACUUAUUACGCUGUGUUUUGUAGGAUU